UACAGAGGUGGCAAGCGUUGUUCGGAAUUACUGGGCGUAAAGCGUGCGCAGGCGGUCUUUUUAAGUCAGAUGUGAAAUCCCCCGGGCUUAACCUGGGAACUGCGUUUGAAACUGGAAGGCUAGAGUGUGGCAGAGGGGGGUGGAAUUCCACGUGUAGCAGUGAAAUGCGUAGAUAUGUGGAGGAACACCGAUGGCGAAGGCAGCCCCCUGGGCUAACACUGACGCCUCAUGCACGAAAGCGUGGGGAGCAAACAGG
rnacentral:rRNA from 1 species